rnacentral:rRNA from 1 species
UACGUAGGGCGCAAGCGUUGUCCGGAAUUAUUGGGCGUAAAGAGCUCGUAGGCGGCUUGUUGCGUCGGUUGUGAAAGCCCGGGGCUUAACCCCGGGUCUGCAGUCGAUACGGGCAGGCUAGAGUGUGGUAGGGGAGAUCGGGAUUCCUGGUGUAGCGGUGAAAUGCGCAGAUAUCAGGAGGAACACCGGUGGCGAAGGCGGAUCUCUGGGCCAUUACUGACGCUGAGGAGCGAAAGCGUGGGGAGCGAACAGG